ACCUGCUCUCCCCCUCAUCAAAUCUCCAAUUGUUGCUCCCCUCAAGGAUCAAGAGAGCUGUGGCCAUCGAUGAGAGAAAAUGUACUGCUGUUUGGUGAAGCCUGGCCACCCUUCAUGCUGCCACUGCUUCUCAGUUUUAGGCUCAGAGAGGAGGAAAAAGAAAUUUGAGAUGGUUCUCUAGUAAAACCUCGGCUGAGAAUUGAUUUGGAGAGCUUCAUGGAAGAAGAGGAGAGGCGCGAGGUGAAACAAAUGAAGAUCUUGCUAGUGCUACUGUCGUUUGUGCUUGUCGUGCGAUAGGCUCUCUCUCUCUCUCUCUCUCUCUCUCUUGAUAUUUGUUCAAUUUUCGUGAGCCACUGACUUUGGAAAAUGUGAGACGUUGAGUUAGGAUAGUCAAUAUAAACUGGAGAGUAUUGGGUGGAGAAGAUCUUUGUGUGUGGGUGAUAUGUUUUGGAGCCAUGGUCAUAGAGGUACAGAUUGCAGAGGGAACAAGGGUGACGAAAUGCCCUUGGAACUUUGCAAAAUUUAACCCAGUGAUCGCAGGGGGAGAAGAAUGGCUUCGGUGGGAGAAGAAGACUUUUGGGUAGAAGAGGAAAGAGAGUAGGGGGAAGGGAAAAGGGAGAGGGGGUUUAAUUGGAUGCACACCCACCGUAGUACCAUAAGUCUACUAUGUGUUGGGUUUUUACUGCUAGGUAUAAAUGAGAAAUACGCACCCGAAUGCUUUGAAGGUUUUCCCUUUUCUUAUUGGUCCCAACUAUCAUGACGACUAGAAAACUACUUUUGGUGUUUGAUAAUUAUGCAAAUACUAAUCAGAAUGCAUCUUGAUAUUUAUGAAAUAGA